rnacentral:rRNA from 1 species
GAGACAGCAGUAGCCGCGGGAAAACGUAGGUGGCAAGCGUUGUCCGGAAUUAUUGGGCGUAAAGGGUGCGUAGGCGGUUUGAUAAGUCACAUGUGAAAUCUUCGGGCUCAACCCGAAGUCUGCAUGCGAAACUGUCGGGCUUGAGUAUGGGAGAGGUGAGUGGAAUUUCCGGUGUAGCGGUGAAAUGCGUAGAUAUCGGAAGGAACACCUGUGGCGAAAGCGGCUCACUGGACCAUAACUGACGCUGAUGCACGAAAGCUAGGGGAGCAAACAGGAUUAGAUACCCCUGUAGUCCCUGUCUCUUAUAC